CCUACGGGGGGCAGCAGUCGAGAAUCAUUCACAAUGGGGGAAACCCUGAUGGUGCGACGCCGCGUGGGGGAAUGAAGGUCUUCGGAUUGUAAACCUCUGUCAUGUGGGAGCAAAUUAAAAAGAUAGUACCACAAGAGGAAGAGACGGCUAACUCUGUGCCAGCAGCCGCGGUAAUACAGAGGUGUCAAGCGUUGUUCGGAAUCACUGGGCGUAAAGGGGGCGUAGGCUGUUUCGUAAGUCGUGUGUGAAAGGCGCGGGCUCAACCCGCGGACGGCACAUGAUACUGCGAGACUAGAGUAAUGGAGGGGGAACCGGAAUUCUCGGUGUAGCAGUGAAAUGCGUAGAUAUCGAGAGGAACACUCGUGGCGAAGGCGGGUUCCUGGACAUUAACUGACGCUGAGGCACGAAGGCCAGGGGAGCGAAAGGGAUUAGAUACCCCUGUAGUC
rnacentral:rRNA from 1 species